GCUUCUAUGGUGGAAUUGGUAGACGCAAAAGCGGUCAGACCCUUUGCAUUUGCGUGCUGGUUCAAGUCCGGCUAGAAGUG